rnacentral:rRNA from 1 species
UACGAGGGGGGCUAGCGUUGCUCGGAAUCACUGGGCGUAAAGCGCACGUAGGCGGCUUGCUAAGUCAGGGGUGAAAUCCUGGAGCUCAACUCCAGAACUGCCUUUGAUACUGGCGAUCUCGAGUCCGGGAGAGGUGAGUGGAACUGCGAGUGUAGAGGUGAAAUUCGUAGAUAUUCGCAAGAACACCAGUGGCGAAGGCGGCUCACUGGCCCGGUACUGACGCUGAGGUGCGAAAGCGUGGGGAGCAAACAGG